AUUGAACGCUGGCGGCAGGCCUAACACAUGCAAGUCGAACGAGUGGCGGACGGGUGAGUAAUGUCUGGGAAACUGCCCGAUGGAGGGGGAUAACUACUGGAAACGGUAGCUAAUACCGCAUACCAUCGGAUGUGCCCAGAUGGGAUUCGCUAGGAGGUGGGGUAAAGGCUCAACUAGGCGACGAUCCCUAGCUGGUCUGAGAGGAUUACCAGCCACACGGGAACGGAUACACGGUCCAGACGCCUACGGGAGGCAGCAGUGGCGAAUAUUGGACAAUGGGCGCAAGCCUGAUGCAGCCAUUCCGCGUGUAUGAAGAAGGCCUUCGGGUUGUAAAGUACGUUCAGCGGGGAGGCGUGACUCGCAGAAGAAGCACCGGCUAACUCCGUGCCAGCAGCCGCGGUAAUUC
rnacentral:rRNA from 1 species